rnacentral:misc_RNA from 1 species
UCCGGUUUGUCACCGGCAGUCUCAUUAGAGUGCCCAACUGAAUGUAGCAACUAAUGACAAGGGUUGCGCUCGUUGCGGGACUUAACCCGACAUCUCACGACACGAGCUGACGACAGCCAUGCAGCACCUGUGUUCCGAUUCCCUUUCGGGCACACCUGGAUUUCUCCAGGCUCUCGGACAUGUCAAGGGUAGGUAAGGUUUUUCGCGUUGCAUCGAAUUAAUCCACAUAAUCCCCCGACAACCAGUUGACAUAGUUUAGGGCGUGGACUAC